CCCUUAGAUGUCCUGGGCCGCACGCGCGCUACACUGAACGGAUCAGCGCGUUUUCCCUUCCCGAGAGGGACGGGUAACCUGCUGAACCCCGUUCGUGGUAGGGAUCGGGGCUUGCAAUUAUUCCCCGUGAACCAGGAAUGCCCAGUAAGUGCAAGUCAUAAGCUUGCGUUGAUUACGUCCCUGCCCUUUGUACACACCGCCCGUCGCUACUACCGAUUGAACGUUUUAGUGAGGUACUCGGACUGAGCCUCAGAAGAUUCACGUCUUUUGUGCUGCUCGGGAAGAUUCCCAAGCUUGAGCGUUUAGAGGAAGUAAAAGUCGUANCA
rnacentral:rRNA from 1 species